rnacentral:rRNA from 1 species
UGGGGAAUUUUGCACAAUGGGGGCAACCCUGAUGCAGCGACGCCGCGUGAUUUAGAAGGCCUUCGGGUUGUAAAAAUCUUUUGUAUAGGAAGAAAAUGACAGUACUAUACGAAUAAGGUCCGGCUAAUUUCGUGCCAGCAGCCGCGGUAAUACGUAAGGACCGAGCGUUGUCCGGAAUCAUUGGGCGUAAAGGGUACGUAGGCGGUUAAAAAAGUUAGAAGUGAAAGGCUAUAGCUCAACUAUAGUAAGCUUUUAAAACUGUUUAACUUGAGAGAUGGAAGGGAAAGUGGAAUUCCUAGUGUAGCGGUGAAAUGCGCAGAUAUUAGGAGGAAUACCGGUGGCGAAGGCGACUUUCUGGCCAUUAUCUGACGCUGAGGUACGAAAGCGUGGGUAGCAAACAGG